UACGUAGGGUGCAAGCGUUAAUCGGAAUUACUGGGCGUAAAGCGUGCGCAGGCGGUUAUGCAAGACAGGUGUGAAAUCCCCGGGCUCAACCUGGGAACUGCAUUUGUGACUGCAUGGCUAGAGUGCGGCAGAGGGGGAUGGAAUUCCGCGUGUAGCAGUGAAAUGCGUAGAUAUGCGGAGGAACACCGAUGGCGAAGGCAAUCCCCUGGGCCUGCACUGACGCUCAUGCACGAAAGCGUGGGGAGCAAACAGG
rnacentral:rRNA from 1 species